GGAAGAAGGGGGAGGGAAAAAAGAGAUGUUCAGUGGGCACCCCUCCCAUCCCACCCUCCAGACCAUUAGCAUUUGGGACUGAGAAGUAAGACCAGAACCAGCCUGUCUUUGUAAUGGCUGAGGACAGGUCCCCUGAAGCAGGCGGAGAUGGUGCUGACGUUGACAUGGAUGAGGUGGGUGAGGAAAGGGGCCGGCAGCAGCGAGAAGAAGGAAGCACAGAUCCUCAAGCUUGGAGGAGCUCCACUUCCAGAUAAAUCCCCAACCAGCCCCAGUUCCUGUAGAUGCAGAGCCCUGCACGGCUACUGCCUUCAGGGGGUUGUGAUCAGAGCCCAAAGAGGGGGCUUGAACCUCAGCCAGCCCUGCCUCAAACAGUCUGCACUCACUGCUUCCAUGCCCGGAGGAUGGGAUCAGACUGUGAGGACCCUAUGAGGUCAUGAUUGUGAAGAACAUGCUGUAGAGGGAAGAGCAGAGAGAGCAGGGUUUUAAUGAGAAGCAUUACUCGAGGAGACCUACUGUGGGUGACACAUGGGGCUGCCAGAGGCCCAUUUCACAGAUAAUGUGAUGGAGACCAAAGGAUAUGGUGCCAGGCCUGAAUCACAGUUGCCAUGCCUGCCCGGCCUGUCUGGCACAGCCUGGACCCACCUGAGGCAUUCCUGUGAGCUCAGGAAGAAGGGAGGAAAGCCAAGAGCUCCUUCCUGGUUUCCCACCCUCAAAGAGCCCAGCGCUUUGUUUGCAGCUGUUACCCUGCAGCCUCUAAUUUGCAAGAGAGGCCUGGGCAGGGCUGUCCGUGGUCACCAGCAGAAUGGGAGGUGUGGUUUCAGGGCCUUUGCACAUGCUGUCUCCUCUUCCUGGGAUACCCUUCCUCUGCUUCUGGAUGGUUCCUCUUCAUUCUCUGGGCUGCACUUGUGGCUGAUUCUGACUGCCAUGAGGAUAGGGACCAGCUCUGUGUUGUACACCUUUGCCUCCGAGGUGCUCACCUGCAGCCUGGGGCCAGCUGAGGUCCACUGUAACCACUGUUGACAAAUCGUUGAAUUUAAGCUCUCUACACCUUCUGUUUCUUCACUUGCAAGAUGGGGAUGGUAACAUCAUAGCAACACUGUGAGGGCAACACAGCAAAGGACUCCCGUGAGGUGAGCACUGUGUGGAUACCAGCUGCUACUCAUAGGUAUUCGUUCCUAGGUUGAACCCAGUUAGCUGGC